rnacentral:lncRNA from 10 species
AGCCCUCCCCACCUGCCCAGCAAUUUACUCUUAAAAAGGUGGCUGGAGCUAAAGGCAUAGUCAAGGUUAAUGCUCCUUUUUCUUUAUCCCAAAUCGGAUAGCGUUUAGGCUCUUUUUCAUCAAAUAUAAAAAUCCAGCCCAGUUCAUGGCUCGUUUGGCAGCAACCCUGAGACGCUUUACAGCCCUAGACCCUAAAAGUUCAAAAGGCCGUCUUAUUCUCAAAAUACACUUUAUUACCCAAUCUGCUCCCGACAUUAAAGAAAACUCCAAAAAUUAAAUUCCAGCCCUCAAACCCCACAACAGGAUUUAAUUAACCUCGCCUUCAAGGUGUACAAUAAUAGAGAAAAGUUGCAAUUCCUUGCCUCCACUGUGAGACAAACCCCAGCCACAUCUCCAGCACACAAGAACUUCCAAACGCCUGAACCGCAGCAGCCAGGCGUUCCUCCAGAACCUCCUCCCCCAGGAGCUUGCUACAAGUGCCAGAAAUCUGGCCACCAGGCCAAGGAAUGCCUGCAGCCCAGGAUUCCUCCUAAGCUGAGUCCCAUCUGUGCGGGACCCCACUGGAAAUCGGACUGUCUAACUCACCUGGCAGCCACUCCCAGCGCCCCUGGAAUUCUGGCCCAAGGCUCUCUGACUGCUUCCCACAUCUUCUUGGCUUAGCGGCUGAAGACUGAUGCUGCCCGAUCGCCUCGGAAGCCCCCUACAAGACCAUCACGGAUGCCGAGCUUCGCGUAACUCUCACAGUGGAGGGUACACAUCCAGAUGGCCGGUUCCUGCCUUAACUGAUGACAUUCUACCACAAAAGAAGUGAAAAUGGCCUGUUCCUGCCUUAACUGAUGACAUUGCCUUGUGAAAUUCCUUCUCCUAGCUCAUCCUGGCUCAAAAGCUCCCCUACUGAGCACCUUGUGACCCCUACUCUGCCCGCCAGAGAACAAACCAACCCCUCUUUGACUGUAAUUUUCCUUUACCUACCCAAAUCCUAUAAAACGGCCCCACCCCUAUCUCCCUUCGCUGACUCUCUUUUCG